rnacentral:rRNA from 1 species
CGCGUAGGCGGUCUCUUAAGUCAGAUGUGAAAGCCCGGGGCUCAACCCCGGAAGUGCAUUUGAAACUAAGGGACUUGAGUAUGGGAGAGGGAAGUGGAAUUCCUGGUGUAGAGGUGAAAUUCGUAGAUAUCAGGAGGAACACCGGUGGCGAAGGCGGACUUCCUGGGACCAAUACUGACGCUAAGGCGCGAAGGCGUGGGGAGCAAACA